rnacentral:rRNA from 1 species
UACGAAGGGGGCUAGCGUUGCUCGGAAUCACUGGGCGUAAAGCGCACGUAGGCGGAUCUUUAAGUCAGAGGUGAAAUCCCAAGGCUCAACCUUGGAACUGCCUUUGAUACUGGGGAUCUCGAGUUCGGGAGAGGUGAGUGGAACUGCGAGUGUAGAGGUGAAAUUCGUAGAUAUUCGCAAGAACACCAGUGGCGAAGGCGGCUCACUGGCCCGAUACUGACGCUGAGGUGCGAAAGCGUGGGGAGCAAACAGG